GACGAACGCUGGCGGCGUGCUUAACACAUGCAAGUCGAACGGAAAGGCCCUGCUUUUGUGGGGUGCUCGAGUGGCGAACGGGUGAGUAACACGUGAGUAACCUGCCCUUGACUUUGGGAUAACUUCAGGAAACUGGGGCUAAUACCGGAUAGGUGCUCCUGCUGCAUGGUGGGGGUCGGAAAGUUUCGGCGGUUGGGGAUGGACUCGCGGCUUAUCAGCUUGUUGGUGGGGUAGUGGCUUACCAAGGCUUUGACGGGUAGCCGGCCUGAGAGGGGGACCGGCCACAUUGGGACUGAGAUACGGCCCAGACUCCUACGGGAGGCAGCAGUGGAGAAUAUUGUACAAUGGGCGGAAGCCUGAUGCAGCAACGCCGCGUGCGGGAAGACGGCCUUCGGGUUGGAAACCGCUGUCGCCUGAGACGAAGCGUGAGUGACGGUAAUGGGUAAAGAAGCACCGGCUAACUACGUG
rnacentral:rRNA from 1 species